rnacentral:tRNA from 1 species
GAUUAGGUAGUUAACUUAAAAUAACAUUUACCUUGAAAGUAAAAAUUAAGAUUUAAUUCUUUCUAGUCU